AGAUGCAAGACACUCUACCUGGUUCACAAAAUCCACCUUAGAGAGAUUCCUUCAUAUCAUAAAUUCGUCCGAUGCACCAAAAACAGCGAAUGGAAUUUUACAGGAGAUGUCUCAGCUGGAGGAAACCAGAAAAUUUCAUGAUUCUCUUUACUCCAAGGAGCAACAAAGUCUUAUGGGUGGUGCUCUUACAGGUAUGUUUAAAGAAACUUUUGCUUUUCCAUUGUUAUUUGUACAUGAAAACCGUCACAACCUUUCAGUUUGUAUGCACUAUGGCUUCUGUCCCCAUUUUAUGAAGUUUAUCUAAUUUGAUAUUGGGUUUGUUUUUCGUGCCAUCUUUAGUGAUGCAGAGUGGACAUUUCAAGAACAACUUAGCUGUAUUCUUAGAGGCCCAUUAGUCAUUCCCUUGUUAAAAAUGAUUCCUGGUGGUGAUGGAUUUGUGUCAGUGUUUACUUUUGGUGACUUCAAUUCCUUCACUAUAGUUGGUGACAUUAGUUCCUUGAGUAUUAUGUUGGUAAUUUUAGCGAACAUUUGCGAUUUGAUACCAAUAGCAAUAAGCUAGCAAACCACUACUUUGUUGGCGCAUUGAGCCCAUUGCCAUAUUUUCCUGAAUCUGUCCUUGUUUCUUGCUAGUUGCCAUACACAACCAGCUCUUAAAUUGUACCCAUGAUUCUUAUGCUUAUCACUGAAAUAAAUACAGUUGGCAGCUCAAAUUCUACUCCCUCCGGUCCGAAAAAACUGUCGACCAAGAGAUUUUGCAAAAAGACCCUCAAAGUUGUUGUUCCUUAACCCUCACUCCACCUUCUCCCUCUUCCCACACCAA